UACGUAGGGUCCGAGCGUUGUCCGGAAUUACUGGGCGUAAAGAGCUCGUAGGUGGUUUGUCGCGUUGUUCGUGAAAACUCACAGCUUAACUGUGGGCGUGCGGGCGAUACGGGCAGGCUAGAGUUCGGUAGGGGAGACUGGAAUUCCUGGUGUAGCGGUGAAAUGCGCAGAUAUCAGGAGGAACACCGGUGGCGAAGGCGGGUCUCUGGGCCACUACUGACGCUGAGAAGCGAAAGCAUGGGGAGCGAACAGG
rnacentral:rRNA from 1 species